GUGAAUCAUCAAAUUUUUGAACGCAAAUUGCACUUUCUUCGGAGAGAAUGUCUGUUUGAGGGUCAGCUUAAAAAAAACCGAUAUAGUUGUUGUUACGCCGUAACAUUCGUCGGAUAUUGGGUCUUCUUAAACUUUUGGGUUUAAGAGGCUUCAACUUUUCUUUAUGUUUCCAAGUACGUUUCUAAGAUUUCUUUUUCUUAUAUGUUUAAGGUAUCGAUCUUUAUUAGAUGUGGCCGUUGCUUCGGAUCUCGUCCAUAAAUAUUUCGUUUACUGAGC
rnacentral:misc_RNA from 1 species